rnacentral:rRNA from 1 species
GACGAACGCUGGCGGCGUGCUUAACACAUGCAAGUCGAACGGAAAGGCCCUGCUUUUGUGGGGUGCUCGAGUGGCGAACGGGUGAGUAACACGUGAGUAACCUGCCCUUGACUUUGGGAUAACUUCAGGAAACUGGGGCUAAUACCGGAUAGGAGCUCCUGCGGCAUGGUGGGGGUUGGAAAGUUUCGGCGGGUGGGGAUGGACUCGCGGCUUAUCAGCUUGUUGGUGGGGUAGUGGCUUACCAAGGCUUUGACGGGUAGCCGGCCUGAGAGGGUGACCGGCCACAUUGGGACUGAGAUACGGCCCAGACUCCUACGGGAGGCAGCAGUGGGGAAUAUUGCACAAUGGGCGGAAGCCUGAUGCAGCAACGCCGCGUGCGGGAUGACGGCCUUCGGGUUGUAAACCGCUUUCGCCUGUGACGAAGCGUGAGUGACGGUAAUGGGUAAAGAAGCACCGGCUAACUACGUG